GACGUAGGGGCGCGAGCGUUUGUCCGGAUUUAUUGGGCGUAAAGAGCUCGUAGGCGGCUUGUCGCGUCGACCGUGAAAAACCCCGCAGCUCAACUGCGGGGCUUUGCGGUCGAUACGGGGCAGGCUCGAGUUUCGGUAGGGGGAGACUGGAAUUCCUGGUGUAGCGGUGAAAUGCGCAGAUAUCAGGAGGAACACCCGGUGGC
rnacentral:rRNA from 1 species